rnacentral:rRNA from 1 species
UACGGGGGGGGCAAGCGUUGUUCGGAAUUACUGGGCGUAAAGGGCUCGUAGGCGGCCAACUAAGUCAGACGUGAAAUCCCUCGGCUUAACCGGGGAACUGCGUCUGAUACUGGAUGGCUUGAGGUUGGGAGAGGGAUGCGGAAUUCCAGGUGUAGCGGUGAAAUGCGUAGAUAUCUGGAGGAACACCGGUGGCGAAGGUGGCAUCCUGGACCAAUUCUGACGCUGAGGAGCGAAAGCCAGGGGAGCAAACGGG